GGAGAGGUGGCCGAGUGGCUUAAGGCGCACGCUUGGAAAGCGUGUGUACGUUAAUAGCGUACCGUGGGUUCGAAUCCCACCCUCUCCG
rnacentral:tRNA from 2 species